GUCGUCGUGGCCGAGUGGUUAAGGCAACAGACUUGAAAUCUGUUGGGCUCUGCCCGCACAGGUUCGAAUCCUGUCGGCGACG
rfam:Ciona savignyi cont_59493, whole genome shotgun sequence.